rnacentral:rRNA from 1 species
GGGAUCGAAAGACCUCGUGCUUUAAGAGUGGCCGAUGUCUGAUUAGCUAGUUGGUAAGGUAAAAGCUUACCAAGGCGACGAUCAGUAGCUGGUCUGAGAGGACGAUCAGCCACACUGGGACUGAGACACGGCCCAGACUCCUACGGGAGGCAGCAGUGGGGAAUUUUGGACAAUGGGCGAAAGCCUGAUCCAGCCAUGCCGCGUGAGUGAAGAAGGCCUUCGGGUUGUAAAGCUCUUUCGGUCGAGAAGAAAUGUCUAUGACUAAUACUUAUAAAAAAUGACGGUAUCGACAUAAGAAGCACCGGCUAACUACGUGCCAGCAGCCGCGGUAAUACGUAGGGUGCAAGCGUUAAUCGGAAUUAUUGGGCGUAAAGGGUGCGCAGGCUGUGUUGUAAGUCAGAUGUGAAAUCCCCGGGCUUAACCUGGGAAUUGCGUUUGAA